rnacentral:rRNA from 1 species
AUUGAACGCUGGCGGCAGGCUUAACACAUGCAAAUCGAGCGGGGUGAUGGUGCUUGCACUAUCACUUAGCGGCGGACGGGUGAGUAAUGCUAAGGAAUCUGCCUAUUAGUGGGGGACAACAUCUCGAAAGGGAUGCUAAUACCGCAUACGUCCUACGGGAGAAAGCAGGGGAUCACUUGUGACCUUGCGCUAAUAGAUGAGCCUAAGUCGGAUCAGCUAGUUGGUGGGGUAAAGGCCUACCAAGGCGACGAUCUGUAGCGGGUCUGAGAGGAUGAUCCGCCACACUGGGACUGAGACAUGGCCCAGACUCCUACGGGAGGCAGCAGUGGGGAAUAUUGGACAAUGGGGGGAACCCUGAUCCAGCCAUGCCGCGUGUGUGAAGAAGGCCUUAUGGUUGUAAAGCACUUUAAGCGAGGAGGAGGCUCUUUUGGUUAAUACCCAAGAUGAGUGGACGUUACUCGCAGAAUAAGCACCGGCUAACUCUGUGCCAGCCGCCGCCGUAACAC